rnacentral:misc_RNA from 1 species
GAAUUUUAUAGUUAAUUAAUGUAUAAUAUACCAAACAUAAAGAUUCAUAUAAAUAAAUCCUGUUCAUGAAAUCAAACAAAUAAUUUCAUGUUCCCAUCUCAAACAACAAAUUUCAAAUAUAAACUGAUUGAGCUAUUAGUUCAAUGAUGAAAUACCUAUCUUAUAAGACAUGAAAUCAGAGAUCUAAAUAUCAUAUAAAACCUA